UACGUAGGCAGCGAGCGUUGUUCGGAGUUACUGGGCGUAAAGGGUGUGUAGGCGGUUUUUUAAGUUUGGUGUGAAAUCUCCCGGCUCAACUGGGAGGGUGCGCCGAAUACUGAGCGACUAGAGUGCGGGAGAGGAAAGUGGAAUUCCUGGUGUAGCGGUGAAAUGCGUAGAUAUCAGGAGGAACACCAGUGGCGAAGGCGACUACCUGGCCUGUUCUUGACGCUGAGGCGCGAAAGCUAGGGGAGCAAACGGG
rnacentral:rRNA from 1 species